UGGCCUCACCCUUCCCUUCUGCUACCUACAAAAGCCCCCUGACAUAGCACUCUUGUCAUACUGAGACUAAGGUAGAAAAAGACACUUCCAAAGGGUGUCAAUGACAAGAGAGAAAUAGACAUAGAGUGGUCACUUCAUUUACCAACCCUGGAACCGCAGACCUCUGGGCUUCCUGGGGCCGCAGUGACUGUGUCCAGUCCUUCCUCACCCCGCUGCAGAGUCAGUCCAGGAGGCCUUUACCCACAGCACUGCCACCUCCCUCCACGACCCCUGUCUUUCUCUUCCCCAGAUUAAACGCUCCCACUUCUCUCCAUUCUUCUUUCUCCACCCCCAGGCCCAUUUCUGCCUCGGUUGCCUGCCUCCAACCACAAUCCAGUUUUUUGGCUCCCAGAGACAGACAUGCCCAGAUCUGAACACCACCCACCUGGAUAAAGAAAAUGGGUACGGCCAAGACCAUAGACCUAGUGAUUGUCAGAUGAACAAUUAGACCCACAGAACCAUCCAAGCUACAGAGGACGCAUUCUGCCUUCCCUUGGAUCCUGUGGUUUGAGGAUGGAGGUCUAGGACCGUGGCAGGCUUUUUGUCCCAUGAGGGAAGGCCAUGGAGCUGAGGAAGGGGAAGAACACACACACCUAAUGGAAUCUCGAGAGAAAGUUCAGACAUCAAAAGACAGAAGCGACAGAGACCCAGGUCUGUGGGGACGCUGUAUGGCUGAGUCAAGUCUUGAUCAAAGUCAGCAUUAUAUCUGGACUUGCACAGUUUCUGAGCCUUGAAACUCCAUUUCGUUUAAGUGAGCUUUUAACUGUCACAGGCAGCUGCAUGCACACACAAGUCCAUGUGAUUAGAUGUUUCCAAGAGUCUGGAAUAACAUACCCCAAACUGUUAAUAGUGGUUACCCUAUAGAAGGGGAGUAGGAAGGUGUGUGUUGGGGUGGAGGAUGGUUUGCCAACUGGAAACUCACUCCAGGCUAACAUUUAUUGCUAGGCACCAUUCUAAACUUUGCCAGUAAUCCUCUCCCUAGAGGCUGAGGAAGACCACUUCUUCAAGCCCUAUUUAAUAGACAGCGUGGCCAGGCAUGGUUGCUCACGCCUGUAAUCCCACCACUUUGGG
rnacentral:lncRNA from 1 species